GACGAACGCUGGCGGCGUGCUUAACACAUGCAAGUCGAACGGAAAGGCCCUGCUUUUGUGGGGUGCUCGAGUGGCGAACGGGUGAGUAACACGUGAGUAACCUGCCCUUGACUUUGGGAUAACUUCAGGAAACUGGGGCUAAUACCGGAUAGCAGCUCCUGCUGCAUGGUGGGGGUUGGAAAGUUUCGGCGGUUGGGGAUGGACUCGCGGCUUAUCAGCUUGUUGGUGGGGUAGUGGCUUACCAAGGCUUUGACGGGUAGCCGGCCUGAGAGGGUGACCGGCCACAUUGGGACUGAGAUACGGCCCAGACUCCUACGGGAGGCAGCAGUGGGGAAUAUUGCACAAUGGGCGGAAGCCUGAUGCAGCAACGCCGCGUGCGGGAUGACGGCCUUCGGGGUGUAAACCGCUUUCGCCUGUGACGAAGCGUGAGUGACGGUAAUGGGUAAAGAAGCACCGGCUAACUACGUG
rnacentral:rRNA from 1 species